rnacentral:rRNA from 1 species
GACGAACGCUGGCGGCGUGCUUAACACAUGCAAGUCGAACGGAAAGGCCCUGCUUUUGUGGGGUGCUCGAGUGGCGAACGGGUGAGUAACACGUGAGUAACCUGCCCUUGACUUUGGGAUAACUUCAGGAAACUGGGGCUAAUACCGGAUAGGAGCUCCUGCUGCAUGGUGGGGGUUGGAAAGUUUCGGCGGUUGGGGAUGGACUCGCGGCUUAUCAGCUUGUUGGUGGGGUAGUGGCUUACCAAGGCUUUGACGGGUAGCCGGCCUGAGAGGGUGACCGGCCACAUUGGGACUGAGAUACGGACCAGACUCGUACGGGAGGCAGCGGUGGGGAAUAUUGCACAGUGGGCGGGAGCCAGAUGCAGCAACGCCGCGUGCGGGAUGACGGCCUUCGGGUUGUAAACCGCUUUCGCCUGUGACGAAGCGUGAGUGACGGUAAUGGGUAAAGAAGCACCGGCUAACUACGUG